rnacentral:rRNA from 1 species
GCUGAUUAGGUAGUUGGUGAGGUAAUGGCUCACCAAGCCUAAGAUCUGUACGGGUCUUGAGAGAGAUGGCCCGGAGAAGGGCACUGAGAUAAGGGCCCUAGCCCUACGGGGUGCAGCAGGCGCGGAAAUUCUGCAAUGCGCGAAAGCGUGACAGAGGGAUUCCGAGUGCAAGCUUUGCUUGCUUUUGCCAAGUGUAAAUAGCUUGGCGAAUAAAGGGAGGGUAAGACACGUGCCAGCCGCCGCGGUAAUACGUGCUCCCUAAGUGGUAUCCCCUUAUAUUGGGCCUAAAGCGUCCGUAGCCCGUUUUGUAAGUCUUUGGUGAAAUCUGCAGGCUCAACUUGCAGAAGUGCCUAAGAUACUGCAGAACUCGAGACCGGUAGACGUCAAAGGAAUUUCUUGGGUAGCGGUGAAAUGCUAUGAUCCAAGAAGGACCACCUGUAGCGAAGGCGUUUGACGAGGACGGCUCUGACGGUGAGGCACGAAAGCUGGGGGAGCGACCCGGAUUAGAUACCCGGUUAGUCCCAGCUGUAAACGAUGCGGACUUGGUGUUCCAUGAUCUUAGGGAUCAUGGGGUGCCGUAGCGAAGGCGUUAAGUCCGCCGCCUGGGGAGUAUACUCGCAAGAGUGAAACUUAAUGGAAUUGGCGGGGGCGCACCACAAGGGGUGGAUGCUGCGGUUCAAUUGGACACAACCCCGGAAGAACUUACCAGGGACGACAGCAGUAUGAUGGACAGUCUGAAGGGCUUUCCUGACACGCUGAGAGGUGUUGUAUGGUCAUCGUCAGCCCGUACCAUGAGGCGUCCUGUUAACUCAGGCAACGGGCGAGACCCACGUCCUUAGUUGCUAACCUUUUCUCCGGAAAAGGUGCACUCUAUGGAGACUGCUUGCUCAAGCAAGAGGAAGGAGUGAGCGACGGUAGAUCUGUAUGGCCCGAAUUUCCUGGGCUACACGCGGCAUACAAUGGCUGAGCCAAUGAGUUCCGAACCCGAAAGGGCAAGGUAAUCCCCUAAUCUCAGCCUCAGUUCAGAUCGAGGGCUGUAACUCGCCCUCGUGAAGAUGGAAUCCCCAGUAAUCGCCUGUCACUAACAGGCGGUGAAUUAGUCCCUGCGCCUUGCACACACCGCCCAUCAAGCCAACCGAGUGGAUUUUAGAUGAGGCUUCACCCUUCGGGUGAAUUCGAUUCUGGGGUCUGUGAGGUGGGCUAAGUUGUAACAAGGUGUCCGUAGGGGAACCUGCGGACGGAUCACCUCC